GGCUACGGCCAUACCACCUUGAAUGCGCCCCAUCUCGUCUGAUCUCGGAAGCUAAGCAGGGUCAGGCCUGGUUAGUACUUGGAUGGGAGACCGCCUGGGAAUACCAGGUGCUGUAAGCU
rnacentral:rRNA from 1 species